rnacentral:rRNA from 1 species
UGGGGCUACACACGUCAUACAAUGGCCGGUACAGAGGGUAGCCAACCGCGAGGGGGAGCCAAUACCACAAAGCCGGUCGUAGUCCGGAUCGCAGUCUGCAACUCGACUGCGUGAAGUCGGAAUCGCUAGUAAUCGCGGAUCAGCAUGUCGCGGUGAAUACGUUCCCGGGUCUU